CAAAUUGGCCGGAUUUCGGGCGAAUGAUCACUGGUUAUCCAAGUUCGUUUGAAACCUCUGCCUCGUCUCUUUCUUGGCACAUGGUGAGGAUUGCUGCAUGAAUCAUUGGCCAUGGACGAAAGUUCGGCUAAUAUUUGUGUUACAAUUCCCAUCGUUGGCCGAGUCUUUGGUCCAUCGGAGUUCAAAUGGAUUCAUUACUGCCUUUCUUCGAGUUGUCGAAGCUUUUGGUGAUCUUAUCAGUAUGUCUCUCCUCCUAUAUUCAUAACCCCUCUUGCAAUGACAAAUUUAUUUCUAAAUAAGAGAGGAAAUCUGUUUUCUAGUCUUGAUUUAAUUAAUCAGUAAUAACGACUCACUAAUUAGAUUAGUCAUAGUUGUUAACGUUAUUUUGGGUACAUUUUAGAAAAUGUGUUUUUCCAGUUUUUAAAACCAAGUCUGUUUUUGUUUAAAUUUUUCUUUGGUUUUGAUUCUAUUCACUAGUUGGAUUCAGAAUUAGGGUCGUUAGUGCCAAAGCCUAAUUAAGAUGUCAGGCAUGUUGUUUAAAUGUCCCAGAAGUCCAGUUUCAUUAAAAGGGUAAAAGGGGGAACACAGGGAUGCUGGUUCGGAAUUGGAUAGGCUUGAAUAAACUUAUAGGAAGGUUCUAGAAAAGAGCCGACAGGGAUCAUCCUGGGGCGAAAGGGGUUUUAAGUUAAUAAAAUCAGAAACUUAAGGGUCCUUUUUGAAUUACAAGAACUGGUUUGGUUGCUCUAAAAUCCUUUCUAUAUAAGGACUCUCUUGCCAAUGAUUAGGGCACAGAAAAAGAGUAAAAAGGAGAAAAACGGCUGAAAACCAGCUUUCCAAAAGCAUUCUUAAGAAAUUUUUGAGUUUUCUUCUAUUUUUGAGGUCUUUUGCUGGGAGUUUCAGAGGUUUAGAAUAGAAUUUUGGGUUUCUUCAUAGCUAUUUUAGUUGUUUAGUCUCUCCAUAUUGCUACUGGUUCUGUCUUGCUGUGGUUAAACUUUCAAUUUUGGGAUCCAAGUUAAUUCGGCUGCUGUUUGUUGGUGGUUGCUCUUUAUUUCUUUCAAGAUUCAGAAAUCUAUUUUUCUGUUCUUUUGGUUUUUGUUGCUACUGCUGCUGUUAGGUACGCCCAAACACAUCUGUAGCUCUUUUUGGAAUAUGAAAAAUGAAGUUAUUCAGCUUAUUGAUUCCCUGACUAUGCCUAUGUUUGAUUUUCUUGUGUUUGUUUGCUGCAUAUGUUUGCCUGUGGUCUUUGUUAAUGUCAGCAGUCAGUCUCAUCUUCUUUGUGUGUCUGAUCUAUGUUGAAAUUUUGGUAAAAACCAUCCUUAAACUGAUUCAUUUGCUAGUAAUAUUUGCUUAUCUUGCUAAAAUCAUGCUAAUAAUCGACAUUUAAAUCCCUCAUGAAUGUCAUCUGUCGAGUUCGUGGGAAUUUGUACUUACUUUGUCACUGGUGAUGAACUUAAUGAGAAAGCAUGAAGGCCUAGAAAGCAUGAGAGAUUGCAAGCCCUGAGUAUGUAUUCCAUGUGUCAAAAUACAGUAGUAAUUCCAAAAAUAGAAGUUUCAUGUACAUGAGUGAUUCAUAGUGAGCUAUGAUAUUGAUAUGAUGAUGUAAAAAUGGGUUGAUUAUGUGUUAUUAAAAAGAAUUGGUCUGUAAUUAAUUUUAUUGUUCAUGUUAGCAAUAUGAAAUCGUUUUCUUAAUGCUAUUCUUUGUUACUGAUGGUUGUAAAAUUU
rnacentral:lncRNA from 1 species